rnacentral:rRNA from 1 species
AACGAACGCUGGCGGCAUGCCUAACACAUGCCAGUCGAACGAGACCUUCGGGUCUAGCGGCGCACGGGUGCGUAACGCGUGGGAACCUGCCCUUAGGUUCGGAAUAACUCUCCGAAAGGGGUGCUAAUACCGGAUAAUCUCUUCGGACCAAAGAUUUAUCGCCGAUGGAUGGGCCCGCGUUGGAUUAGCUAGUUGGUAGGGUAAAGGCCUACCAAGGCGACGAUCCAUAGCUGGUCUGAGAGGAUGAUCAGCCACACUGGGACUGAGACACGGCCCAGACUCCUACGGGAGGCAGCAGUGGGGAAUAUUGGACAAUGGGCGAAAGCCUGAUCCAGCCAUGCCGCGUGAGUGAUGAAGGCCUUAGGGUUGUAAAGCUCUUUUACCCGGGAAGAUAAUGACGGUACCGGGAGAAGAAGCUCCGGCUAACUCCGUG